UCUUGGGUCUGGUUUUCAUGUAAGGCUGGAAUUUCUAUUAUAGUUAGUGGAACAAUCCUCUUUUGCAUUCAUUGUUGUUGACAAGUAAAGGAGGGAUGGGAGAUGAUGUUUGAAGAAGAGAGGAUGAGUUUCCUUUCAGAGAUGAGAACUUUUUUAAUUUUACCACUGUGCCUCUCAAUUGUAACUAGUUGAUCUUUACUCUUUGAAUUGC
rnacentral:lncRNA from 1 species